rnacentral:rRNA from 1 species
AACGAACGCUGGCGGCAUGCCUAACACAUGCAAGUCGAACGAGACCUUCGGGUCUAGUUGCGCACGGGUGCGUAACGCGUGGGAACCUGCCCUUAGGUUCGGAAUAACUCCCCGAAAGGGGUGCUAAUACCGGAUAAUGUCUUCGGACCAAAGAUUUAUCGCCUUUGGAUGGGCCCGCGUUGGAUUAGCUAGUUGGUAGGGUAAAAGCCUACCAAGGCGACGAUCCAUAGCUGGUCUGAGAGGAUGAUCAGCCACACUGGGACUGAGACACGGCCCAGACUCCUACGGGAGGCAGCAGUGGGGAAUAUUGGACGAUGGGCGAAAGCCUGAUCCAGCAAUGCCGCGUGAGUGAUGAAGGCCUUAGGGUUGUAAAGCUCUUUUACCCGGGAUGAUAAUGACAGUACCGGGAGAAUAAGCUCCGGCUAACUCCGUG